AAAUGUGGUGCAGUUUUGUUGUCUGGAUUGUUUGUGGAGUAUAAGUAAAAAGUAGCUAGAAAAUGGGAAAACACGUGUAAAGUGCGAGGAUCUUAAGAUUAUACUUAACUGCAGUACUUAAAUAAAUGUUCUUAAAACCCCUCGUGAAGAUGAUGGCCGGUUUACCGCACGCGCCGUGACACGAAUCAAACACACCCAUUAAAGUUAUAACAGGUGCAUGCCGGGAUGUGACCGCGCUGCUGAUGGCGGGACGUCAGAGUGUUGGUUUCAGGCCGCAUUCACGCGCACACCUGCGCAGCCUUUCACCUGUUUUGGACUUCAAUUGUCGGACAUGUUUGGGAAGCGCAGCGGGACGAACUGUGGGGACAUGAGACAGUUAACGAGCCAACAGGCUGAGGACUCGUUUACGGAUCCCCGCAGGUCGGACAGACAGUCAGGUUGAGCUGAGCUGGUCUUGAUGCAGUCCCAGGACCCGUUGGCUGCCUUCUGAUGACGAUUCGUCCUUUGGGCUGCGGUGGCAAGUUACUAAACUUUAGAACAAAGGGCAAUCGGCAAAUAAAGACAAAACAACAAGCAAGUUAUGGACAGUGACCCGAGGUCAUCAAACCUUCAGGUCCGCCUAAUAAGAGUAAAUACCACUGAGGAUUUGACUAAAAGUCAACAUGCAGACAGAUGAAGGAGGAGAGUCCAUCCCAGUGGGGUGGACAGUUUCAAAGAC